ACUUGGUUGAUCCUGCCGGGAGCUAUAUGCUUGUCUCAAAACUUAAGCCAUGCAAGUGCAAAUUCACACCAUACAUUAGAACAGGCGAAACCGCGAAUUUUUCAUAACCGGACAUAAUCCUUUGGAUCCUAAAACGAUAGAUAACUGUGGCAGUUCUAGAGCGAAUGCAUGUGACACAGGUCUAGAUCGGUUAGCGCGUUGUCAUCGUAUAUCUACCGUCACGUGCUUGGGCACAUGAGUUGACCAUUACGGGUCGCGGCACUACAUAUUAGACUGACACUGAUGCAGGUCAUUUCGUCCUCUCGUCGUCGUGGUACGCGCAGUGUGCGGCGACCGAACCAAAGACUUUGUUGACUCUAGAUAUCUCAAAGGUCUUUUGCACUGGCUUUCACGUCUAGCGACAGGUCUCUCAAGGUCCCACCUUAUCAACUGUUGACAGUCGUUGAAGUACCUACCGUGGAUACAACAGGUUUCGUGGAAUCGCGUUCAAUUCCGGAGAGGGAUCAUGCGAAACGGCUACCACAUCCAAGGAAGGCAGCAGGCACGCAAAUUAACCACUCCCUGCACGGUGAGAUAGUGACGAAAAAUGUUGAGGUCACGCGAUCGGACUGAGUACACGUCAAAUCCGUUGACGAAGAACAACCAGAGGGCAGGUGUUGGCGCCAGCAGCCGCGGCAAUCCCAGCUCCAGUAGCGUAUAUUAAUUUUGUUCCGGUUAAAUGCUUGUAGACCAAACUAGACUUUGACACUUUAGU